AGUGGCGAACGGGUGAGUAACACGUGGGCAACCUGCCCAAAAGAGGGGGAUAACACUUGGAAACAGGUGCUAAUACCGCAUAACCAUAGUUACCGCAUGGUAACUAUGUAAAAGGUGGCUAUGCUACCGCUUUUGGAUGGGCCCGCGGCGCAUUAGCUAGUUGGUGGGGUAAAGGCUUACCAAGGCAAUGAUGCGUAGCCGAACUGAGAGGUUGAUCGGCCACAUUGGGACUGAGACACGGCCCAAACUCCUACGGGAGGCAGCAGUAGGGAAUCUUCCACAAUGGGCGAAAGCCUGAUGGAGCAACGCCGCGUGGGUGAAGAAGGUCUUCGGAUCGUAAAACCCUGUUGUUAGAGAAGAAAGUGCGUGAGAGUAACUGUUCACGUUUCGACGGUAUCUAACCAGAAAGCCACGGCUAACUACGUGCCAGCAGCCGCGGUAAUACGUAGGUGGCAAGCGUUAUCCGGAUUUAUUGGGCGUAAAGGGAACGCAGGCGGUCUUUUAAGUCUGAUGUGAAAGCCUUCGGCUUAACCGGAGUAGUGCAUUGGAAACUGGGAGACUUGAGUGCAGAAGAGGAGAGUGGAACUCCAUGUGUAGCGGUGAAAUGCGUAGAUAUAUGGAAGAACACCAGUGGCGAAAGCGGCUCUCUGGUCUGUAACUGACGCUGAGGUUCGAAAGCGUGGGUAGCAAACAGGAUUAGAUACCCUGGUA
rnacentral:rRNA from 1 species